AACGCACGAGACCUGCGGACCUGCGGAGGGAUCACUAAUGAGAAACUGCCCCUCGCGGGUAGAUCUCCCACCCUUUGUAAACUUACCUUUGUUGCUUUGGCAGGCCCGUCUCCGGACCGCCGGCUUCGGCUGGCCAGUGCCUGCCAGAGGAUUCUAAAACUCUGUCUGUCAGUGUUGUCUGAGUCUAUAUACAAUCGUUAAAACUUUUAACAACGGAUCUCUAGAUCGGAAGAGCACACG
rnacentral:misc_RNA from 1 species